rnacentral:lncRNA from 1 species
GUGAGCUGGUGGAUGGAUGGAUGGAUGGAUGGAUGGAUGGAUGGAUGGAUGGAUGGAUUAAUGGGUGAUUUACCUUAAUAGAAGCUUGAGACCAGCCUGAGCUACACUGUCAGGUAGGCUGUCUCAAAAACAGCAGUAACAACAAAGAUAUAGCUUGAGUGCUCUAUGGUGCUAUUAAAUCAUACCUCUUGGGCUGGAGAGAUGGCUCAGCGGGUAAGAGCACUGACUGUUCUUCCAGAGGUUCUGAGUUCAAAUCCCAGCAAUCACAUGGUGGCUUACAACCAUCCGUAAUGAGAUCUGACACCCUCUCCUGGUGUGUCUGAGACAGCUACAGUGUACUUACAUAUAACAAUAAAUAAAUCUUUAAAAAAACAAAACAAAACAAAAAACAGCUCCACCUAAGGUCCACUUAAUCUUAGAAGCCAGGGGCAAGGGCUUUGUGCCCUUUCCAUAGUUCCUAGUCUAGUCUUUUGUAUAGUCCACCUUCCCCCUAGGCCAUUGUAAAUACCGGUGUAUGGGUAUAACUCAGCUAUCUAUAGUUCUAAGUAUCUACUCUGGUUCCUCAAUAUUAAGGGAAAGCACUCAGAUCCGUUUACCACUAAAGCAAGGACAUUGGAGCAUUCGUUAUACAGGACACCACCGUUCCAGAAGAUUAAGUUUCCGUGAACUUUCCCCUCGGGACAGCUCCCAGGUUUUGGGGGCCUGUUAUGCUUGUCACUACUGGAGUGGAUGUAGCACCUGACACCAGUUAGUCCCAUGUUCAAUGCUCUACUGGGUUGGAGAGGUGACAAGUUCUAGGUUACACACACAAAAAAGGUACAGUCUUUUAUUGCUUUGUUUUGUUUGAGACAAGGUCUCAUGUAGCUCAGUCUGGUCUCAGCCUCACUAUGUAGCCAAGCAUGAUGACCUUGACCCUCUAAUCCUCUCCAAUGCUGGGAUUACAGGACUGCACCACCACACCUGGAAUUACGUGUGGCCGGGCUGGAAAACCAAGCCUUUGGCUUUUUAGGGAAGCGUUCUACAGGGCUACACACCAGCUCAGGAAACAGUCAUCUUCACAGCGGCCAAAGAAGCACUUGAAGUGUGAAGAUCACAGCCAUCUCGGAGGGAGUUUCACAGAGGAAGUGGAAAGUUUCUCCGGGGAAGGGCAGAGGUGUCAGAGAGCCGGAGGCAGCCAGGACACAGGGCUCCAAGCCUGGAAACCAUCCAUCCAUCCUGCCCGGUGUCUCCAUGUUGCUCUGUAUGCCCUGCCUGCGCUUAACUGA